GCACUGUGAGGAGACAGCUACCGCAUCAUGCUAAACUUAUCCAGCACCGUGAGAAGGUCUGUGAGAAGGAGCUUAGCCCACCAACUGCCAUCACAGGGAAGACUGAGGCAGGAGGAUUGCCGUAAGUUUGAGGACAUCCUACCUGAACUAUGAGUUGGGACCCUGCCUCAAAAAAAACACAGCCAGAGGCUGGCUGACUUCCUUUGGAACCUCUGCUCUUUAGCCACCAGCUGUCUGUCCUCUGAUGGGAAUCCUGUCUGUAGUGACCUCCUUACCUCAGCUAAUUUGUCUACCUGUUAAUGACUCUGCCUCUUGGACUUCGUCCCAGUAGACACCAUGCUUUCAGCCU
ensembl:processed_transcript 4930417H01Rik RIKEN cDNA 4930417H01 gene